AGGGCUCGAACCGGGAUCCUCUUGCCGGUCCUUGUGCUUUGCGCCACCUGCGCUUAACCUGCUGUGCUACAGCCUGACUCCCCAAACAAAUCUUUUUAAAAAAAUUUUUGGGGAGUUGGGCGGUAGCGCAGCAGGUUAUGUGCAGGUGGUGCAAAGCAAGGACCAGUAUAAGGAUCCUGGUUUGAGCCCC
rnacentral:pre_miRNA from 1 species